GCUCCGGUGGCCUAGUGGUUAAAGCGUUCGCCUCGGAUGAGGGAGGUCGUGAUUUCGAUCCUCAGCCGAGUCA